CUAGCUACGGUGGUACGUAUUCUAAAAUUGGAACGAUACAGAGAAGAUUAGCAUGGCCCCUGCACAAGGAUAACACGCAAAUUCGUGAAGCGUUCCAUAUUUUU
rnacentral:snRNA from 1 species